UACGUAGGUGGCAAGCGUUGUCCGGAAUUACUGGGCGUAAAGCGAACGCAGGCGGAUGGUUAAGUAAGAAGUGAAAACUCGAGGCUCAACCUCGAGCUGUCGGUGGAAACUGUCUGGCUAGAGUCCGGAAGAGGAGAGUGGAAUUCCUGGUGUAGCGGUGAAAUGCGCAGAUAUCAGGAAGAACACCUAUGGCGAAGGCAGCUCUCUGGGACGGUACUGACGCUGAGACGCGAAAGCGUGGGGAGCGAACAGG
rnacentral:rRNA from 1 species